GGAUUAGAUACCCUGGUAGUCCACGCAGUAAACGUUGUACACUAGGUGUGGCGGAUAUUAAAAUCUGCUGUGCCCAAGCUAACGCAUUAAGUGUACCGCCUGGGGAGUACGGUCGCAAGACUAAAACUCAAAGGAAUUGACGGGGGCCCGCACAAGCGGUGGAGCAUGUGGUUUAAUUCGACGCAACGCGAAGAACCUUACCUGGGUUUGACAUCCUGUGAACCUUCUAGAGAUAGAGGGGUGCCUUCGGGAGCACAGAGACAGGUGCUGCAUGGCUGUCGUCAGCUCGUGUUG
rnacentral:rRNA from 1 species